GACAAAUUCAAAAGAACUCUAAAUUAAGUAAAAAGAAGUCAAAUAAUAGGUACCUGGGUAGCCACGGGCACCAAAAGGCUACCAAAACCGAUUCAGUGACGGCUGCCAAUGCCAAAAUGACAAAAAAAUCGUCCGUCGUCUAGUAACCCGCGAAUUUUCACUUUUGUUUUUUCGUUGCAUAUGAUGGAGAAGUCAUUUUAAUACGUUCUCGUGCGAGUAAAGUUUUCUAGGAUUCAUUGUUUCUUUAAUGAUAUUGUAGCCCAGCUGUCGCAACCAGUUUUCCUUGAAUUACUUCUGGAAUAUUAUAGGGAGGAUAGCGAUGUGACUAACGAAAAUUUGUUAUAUUAUGCAGGCCCAGUUACAAAAUAAUAAUACAAUAACUAUCACGAGGAGUCCGGCCUAAACGGAGACAGUUCGAAGAAGAUCAAUUUGAUGCACUGAAAGAGCAAUCUGGAUUGGUUUCAAAGUUUUUGGUUAUGAUGCCAAUCUCAUUCCCGACUUCCGGAAAGGAAUAGUUAUUGGUGUCAUCGGAUCGGUGGGUGCUGGUAAAUCAUCUUUGCUGCAAUAAAUUCUAGCAAUUCGAUGGAAACGAGUUGGUGGUGAAUGCAUAAGCUCUAGUACGAGAUAUUGAAACUAAUCAUCUUAACGCAGAACCGAUAUGUUUCUGAAGCCAAGGAUGCUCAAAGCGGUCAUCACUUGUUCGAUAUAUGUAUCGAGCCCAGGAGCCGGUUAGAAUAAUAUGACGGUGCUGGAGUAAUUUAUCGUUGGACCGGUGCCACUAGACUCGUAAAUGAUUCGAAACUUUCAACAUCGAAACUCUCAAUUGUCGUGAAUUCGUUCACAUUUGAAUUCAUGUUACCACUAAUUUGAUACUUAUUCAAAAUUAU